rnacentral:rRNA from 1 species
GACGGACCGUUAACCCCUCGGGGUGAAGCGGAGAAUUAAGCCCCAGUAAACGGCGUGGUAACUAUAACCAUCCUAAGGUAGCGAAAUUCCUUGUCGGGUAAGUUCCGACCUGCACGAAUGGCGUAACGACUUCUCAACUGUCUCAACCAUAGACUCGGCGAAAUUGCACUACGAGUAAAGAUGCUCGUUACGCGCGGCAGGACGAAAAGACCCCGGGACCUUCACUACAACUUGGUAUUGGUGUUUGGUUCGGUUUGUGUAGGAUAGGUGGGAGACUGUGAAGCAGGCACGCCAGUGUUUGUGGAGUCAUUGUUUGAAAUACCACUCUGAUCGUAUUGAACCUCUAACCUCGAACCGUGAACCCGGUUCAGGGACAGUGCCUGGUGGGUAGUUUAACUGGGGCGGUUGCCUCCCAAAAUGUAACGGAGGCGCCCAAAGGUUCCCCUCAACCUGGACGGCAAUCAGGUGUUGAGUGCAAGUGCACAAGGGAGCUUGACUGCAAGACGGACAUGUCAAGCAGGGACGAAAGUCGGGAC